AGGGAUGUAGCUCAGUGGCACAGUACGUGCCUACCAAGCCUGAGGCCCUGAGUUCAAAUCCCAGUACCUCCU
rnacentral:tRNA from 1 species